rnacentral:rRNA from 1 species
AUUGAACGCUGGCGGCAGGCCUAACACAUGCAAGUCGAACGGUUACAGGGAGAUGCCUCCUUCUUUGCUGGCCAGAGGCGUACGUAAGAGUAAUGAAUGGGAAACUGACUGGUGGAUGGGGAUAAGUACUGGACGCGGUAACCACUACCGCAUUACGUCGCAAGGCCAAGGAUGGGGACAUUCCGGCCUCUCACCUUCGCAUAUGUCCAGUUGGGAUUAGCUAGUAGGUGGGGUAAAGGCACACCUAGGCGACGAUCCCUACCUGGUCUGAGAGGAUGAACAGCCACACUGGAACUGAGACACGGUCCAGACUCCUACGGGAGGCAGCAGUGGGGAAUAUUGCACAAUGGGCGCAAGCCUGAUGCAGCCAUGCCGCGUGUAUGAAGAAGGUCUUCGGGUUGUAAAGUACUUUCAGCGGGGAGGAAGGGAAUAAAGUUAAUACCUUGGUUUAUUGACGUUACCCGCAGAAGAAGCACCGGCUAACUCCGUG